rnacentral:lncRNA from 1 species
UCUAAAGUUGUGCGAAAUAUGGGACACGCAACAUAUCUUCCGAUGGAGUCUUGCUCACAAUAGACCACAGCAAUUGGUCGCAAGCCUGCUGGUGUCACUUGAUUUAAACACAUCCAUGGAUUGGAACAAACUAUAUUUCACAUUGGCUGCUAGAUUUAACUCAUAAGUGCCGUGCACUCUAGACUCUAGUGACAGGGCACUUACUAGUUACAACUCCC